GUGCUUGCCUUGAAAGCACAUAUAUUAAAAUUGGAAAGAUACAAAGAUUAGCAUGGCUCUUGAGCAAGGAUGACAUGCAAAUUCGUGAAGUAUUCCAUAAUUUU
ensembl:snRNA U6 U6 spliceosomal RNA